rnacentral:rRNA from 1 species
UACGGAGGAUCCGAGCGUUAUCCGGAUUUAUUGGGUUUAAAGGGUGCGUAGGCGGCCUUUUAAGUCAGCGGUGAAAGUCUGUGGCUCAACCAUAGAAUUGCCGUUGAAACUGGAAGACUUGAGUGUGUUUGAGGUAGGCGGAAUGCGUGGUGUAGCGGUGAAAUGCAUAGAUAUCACGCAGAACUCCGAUUGCGAAGGCAGCUUACUAAGCCAUAACUGACACUGAAGCACGAAAGCGUGGGGAUCAAACAGG